AUGGGCUGCUCACCUUCGAAGUGUUGUUUUUGUUUACAUUUUAAGGGAUGUUUGCACUCCCACGGGUGUCUUAAUCAAACACCUGACUCCCGAAGAGAGUCAAGGGGAAAAUCAAGUUGGGGAAGGGCAAAGAUAGAUUCUAGUGCUUCAGAUGGCUCUUCUGAUGAUCUAGAGGGAGAUGAUGGAUUCGGCCAAAUGAACAUUACAAGGGAAUCAAAUGUUGGUAUUAAUCGUCUCUCAAGGGUCUCUUCACAGUUUCUUCCUCCAGAAGGUUCGCGCAAAGUUCGAGUCCCGUUGGGAAACUAUGACCUGAGAUACUCCUAUUUGUCUGAGAGAGGUUACUACCCAGAGUCAUUGGACAAACCAAACCAAGAUAGCUUCUGCAUACACACUCCAUUUGGAACAAGCCCUGAUGACCACUUCUUUGGUGUAUUUGAUGGUCAUGGGGAAUAUGGAGCUCAGUGCUCGCAGUUCGUGAAACGAAGAUUGUGUGAAAACUUGCUCCGGGAUAGCCGGUUUCGUACUGAUGCUGUUCAGGCUCUUCAUUCUGCUUUCUUGGCAACAAAUUCUCAGCUCCAUGCGGACAGCUUGGAUGAUUCCAUGAGUGGUACUACCGCGAUCACUAUACUGGUGAGGGGCAAAACAUUGUACAUUGCAAAUACAGGCGAUUCACGUGCUCUUAUUGCUGAGAAAAGAGGAGAGUAUAUUAUUGCUGUUGACCUGUCCAUAGAUCAAACUCCUUACCGGACCGAUGAGGUUGAAAGGGUCAAGGAGUGUGGUGCCAGGGUUCUGACAUUGGAUCAAAUAGAAGGACUAAAGAAUCCAGAUGCUCAGUGUUGGGGCAACGAGGAAAGUGACGAUGGCGAUCCUCCAAGGUUGUGGGUGGAAAAUGGCAUGUUUCCGGGAACUGCUUUUACUCGUAGUAUUGGAGAUUCUGUUGCUGAAUCAAUUGGCGUCGUCGCAAAUCCUGAAUUUUUUAACCUGGAGCUCAGUGCCAGCCAUCCAUUCUUCGUUAUUGCUAGUGACGGAGUUUUCGAGUUUCUUUCUAGCCAAACAGUCGUAGACAUGAUUGCUAAAUACAAGGAUCCUCGUGAUGCAUGUGCUGCAAUUGUUGCUGAGUCCUAUCGUCUCUGGCUGCAGUAUGAAACUCGUACGGAUGACAUCACAAUCAUACUUGUACAUAUUAACGGGUUAACUGAUAGUGGUUCCACCCAUACCGUAUUGAAGGUGUCUUUACAACCAUCACAGCAAGUAGUAGAACUGGUGGGCUCUGAAUCACCAUCCAUCACAAGUUUGAACCCCAAUAACCAGCGCUCCAGGCAUGAUCUAUCACGUGCACGGUUGAGAGCUAUUGAAAGUUCUCUGGAAAAUGGUCAACUAUGGAUUCCUCCAUCUCCAUCACAUCGCAAGACAUGGGAAGAGCAAGCACGUAUUGAGAGGAUACUACAUGAUCAUUUCCUCUUCAGAAAGCUCACUGAUUCACAACGCAAUGUUUUACUUGAUUGCAUGCAACGGGUUGAGGCAACACCUGGGGAUAUAGUGGUGCAGCAGGGUGGUGAAGGCGACUGCUUUUAUGUAGUUGGGAAUGGUGAGUUUGAAGUUCUGGCCAUGCAGGAAGAAGAUGGGAAGGAAGUGACCAAGGUCUUGCAUCGGUAUACUGCUGACAAACUAUCUUCCUUUGGAGAGCUAGCAUUGAUGUAUAACAAGCCACUUCAGUCUUCGGUCCGUGCCGUGACUAAUGGAACAUUAUGGGCUCUAAAGCGGGAGGAUUUCCGGGGAAUUCUGAUGUCAGAAUUUUCAAACAUGCCAUCACUGAAGUUGCUCCGAUCUGUACAACUGUUUACAAGAUUGACAGUGCUUCAGCUAAGUCAACUUGCCGACUCACUUGUUGAGGUAUCAUUUGCAGAUGGACAAGUAAUAGUAGACAAGGAUGAUGACGUCUCUUCUCUAUAUAUUAUUCAAAGAGGCCAUGUGAGACUUACAGUAGCAGCUGAUAGGUUAAAUUCAGAUUCGUGGGAUCUUCUUAGUACUCAUGGAAAGCAGGUCCAACAGAGUCAAGAAAGUGGUAAUUAUGUGGUUGAGAUAGAUGAGGGAGGUCACUUUGGAGAGUGGGCUCUCAUUGGAGAGACUAUCACAUUUACUGCUAGCUCAGUUGGUGAUGUGAUCUGUUCUACUAUAGCAAAAGAGAAAUUUGAUUUAAUUGUUGGGUCUUUGCCUAAACCAUCACAGGCUGAUUCCAUGCUUAAAAGUUCUCUUAUCCCAAAGGAGAACCAGCAUUGUGCGGAUGACGAUUUGCCCUUCAGGAGGGUUCAGCUAUCUGAUUUGGAAUGGAAGGAGUGCAUAUAUGCCGCUGAUUGCAGCGAGAUCGGUCUUGUCCAAAUUAGAGGCUCUGACAAGAUGAAAAGCUUCAAAAGGUUUUAUAUUAAGAGGGUAAAUGAUCUCUGUAAGGAAAAGCAGGUGUUUCAGGAGAAAGACAUGAUGAAAACUUUGAGCAAAUCAGCUUGUGUGCCAGAAGUUUUAUGUACUUGUGCGGAUCAAUCAUAUCUUGGAAUACUGCUGAAUUGUUGCCUUUGUUGCUCACUGGCUUCAAUACUUAAUGCACCACUAAGUGAGUCAUCCGCACGAUUCUAUGCAGCUUCAGUUGUUGUUGCUCUAGAAGAACUUCAUCGGAGGUCUAUUCUUUACAGAGGUGUUUCAGCAGAUAUUCUUAUGCUCGACCGAUCGGGAUAUCUGCAGGUAGUUGACUUCAGGUUUGCGAAGAAGUUGGAAGGUGAAAGGACUUACACAAUAUGUGGCAUCGCUGACUCUCUACCUCCAGAGGUUGUUCUUGGCAGGGGGCAUGGGUUUACUGCUGAUUGGUGGGCGCUUGGAGUAUUGAUUUAUUUCAUGCUGCAAUCAGACUUGCCAUUUGGGUCGUGGAGGGAGAGCGAGCUAGAACCUUUCGGUAAGAUUGCGAAAGGUCGCCUAAUUAUACCAUCAGCUUUCAGUGUGGAAGUUGGUGACCUUAUAACCAAGCUACUUGUGGUAGAUGAAAAUACACGCCUUGGAGCCACAGGUGCUGACGCUGUGAAGGAACAUCCCUGGUUUGAUGGCAUUGACUGGAAACAAAUAGCAGAUGUCACUUCAAGAGUACCUCAAGAAAUCUCUAAUCGCAUCGACAUAUAUGUAGAAACUCUUCAGCAGGAUUUAACAGUGCCCCCUUCCAUCCUGACUGAAGAUCCUGCUGAUAUGACUACUCCAGAGUGGAUCAAAGAUUGGUAA
rnacentral:rRNA from 1 species